rnacentral:rRNA from 1 species
AGAAUCAACGCUGGCGGCGUGCCUAACACAUGCAAGUCGAACGAGAAAGUGGAGCAAUCCAUGAGUAAAGUGGCGACCGGGUGAGUAACACGUGACUAACCUACCUUCGAGUGGGGGAUAACAUCGGGAAACCGAUGCUAAUACCGCAUAACAUCGCAAGAUCAAAGCAGCAAUGCGCUUGAAGAGGGGGUCGCGGCUGAUUAGCUAGUUGGUAGGGUAAUGGCCUACCAAGGCUUAGAUCGGUA